ACCAAUCAACCUCUUAUAAUUUACCAAUUAUUAGCAAGUUAAUUUAUUACAACUUUUGCAAAAGAUUAAUCAUCAAUCGAAUUGAUGGUUAUACCCUCAAAUGAUUCUCAAUCAUCGAUCAGCUGUAUGAUUAGUCAGAAACUUCUUUUGAGUAUGAUGAUCACUGUCGUAGGUGGUCAAGAAUAAAAACCAACUCAAACUAUAUAGAUAGGAUGAGUAGGGAUCAUUUCCAC
rnacentral:lncRNA from 1 species